CUGGCGGCACGCCUAACACAUGCAAGUCGAACGCAGUAGCAAUACUGAGUGGCAAACGGGUGAGUAUAAUGUGGGAAUCUGCCUUUUGGUUUGGAAUAACACGGGGAAACUUGUGCUAAUACCGAAUAAGCCCUUACGGGGAAAGUUUUAACGCCGAAAGAUGAGCCCGCACUUGAUUAGCUAGUUGGUAAGGUAAAAGCUUACCAAGGCAACGAUCAAUAGCUGUUCUUAGAGGAAGACCAGCCACAUUGGGACUGAGACACGGCCCAGACUCCUACGGGAGGCAGCAGUGGGGAAUCUUGCACAAUGGGGGAAACCCUGAUGCAGCGAUGCCGCGUGAGUGAAGAAGGCCCUUGGGUUGUAAAACUCUUUCGUCGGGGAAGAAAAUGACUGUACCCGAAUAAGAAGGUCCGGCUAACUUCGUGCCAGCAGCCGCGGUAAUACGAAGGGACCUAGCGUAGUUCGGAAUUACUGGGCUUAAAGAGCUCGUAGGUGGUUAAAAAAGUUGAUGGUGAAAUCCCAAGGCUCAACCUUGGAACUGCCAUCAAAACUUUUUAGCUAGAGUGUGAUAGAGGUAAGUGGAAUUUCUAGUGUAGAGGUGAAAUUCGUAGAUAUUAGAAAGAACACCAAAUGCGAAGGCAACUUACUGGGUCACUACUGACACUGAGGAGCGAAAGCAUGGGUAGCGAAGAGGAUUAGAUACCCUCGUAGUCCAUGCCGUAAACGAUGUGUGCUAGACGUUGGAAAUAUAUUUUUCAGUGUCGCAGCGAAAGCAUUAAGCACACCGCCUGGGGAGUACGACC
rnacentral:rRNA from 1 species